rnacentral:rRNA from 1 species
CCUACGGGAGGCUGCAGUGGGGAAUAUUGGUCAAUGGCCGCAAGCCUGACCCAGCAACGUCGCGUGAAGGAAGAAGGCUCUCUGGUUUGAAACUUCCUUUUUUAGGGACGUAGCAAGUUACGGUACCUGAUGAAUAAGUCUCCGCUAACUACGUGCCAGGAGCCGCGGUAAUACGUAGGUCGCAAGCGUUAUCCGGAUUUACUGGGUGUAAGGGUAGUGUAGGUGGGAGUGCAAGUCAGAUGUGAAAAGUAUGGGCUCAACCCAUAGCCUGCAUUUGAAACUGUACUUCUUGAGUGCUGGAGAGGCAAUCGGAAUUCCGGGUGUAGCGGUGAAAUGCGUAGAUAUACGGAGGAACACCAGUGGCGAAGGCAGAUUGCUGGACAGUAACUGACGCUGAGGCGCGAAAGCGUGGGGAGCAAACAGGAUUAGAUACCCGUGUAGUC